rnacentral:lncRNA from 1 species
UGAUGGGGAUGUAAGAGAAGGAACAUGCGUUUUCAUGGAAGAAUCAUCUGACAUGAACUUAUGUUGGGCUCUAGACAGAAACAUUGGAAGAGGACACCCAGCACUCACAGCAUCCAGCAGGAGCAGCAGGAAGCAUCAGAUAUUGUCGGGGAAUUCUUCAGUUCCAGAAGUUUUGAAGAAACGUCUGAUCCAAAUUCUGGAGUGGAGGGGAAGCUGCCCCCAACACCUCCAACAAUGUGAAGACCCAGAGGUACUGAUGAUGUUGGGUCACCCCUUCUCCAUGUCUCCCAGCCAUCCCCGCAGCUGGUGGAUAGGAGCUGAUGGGGUGCAAUGAAGCCACCAGCACCUCCACUGUUGCAGGGAACCUGCUGGGGAGAAUGACGUGUCUGGAGCUAUCCUUGUCCCAAGCAAUAGAGCCAUCCCAUGUGGAGAACGACCCCAGGCGCAUGAUCCUGCACCCAUGGAGAACGCAAGGACAAAGAGGUUUUGGAGCUCUUAGCACCACCCUGGGAAGUGCUGAGAGCUGCUGUGUGCCCUGCAGUGCACAAGGAGUUGUGGAAGAUCUGCAUUCCUCCUGGACCCAGUGCUUACUGGGGCUCCAGUGCCUGCAGGGCUCCUUCUGGCUCCCAAACCAUGGAGGAACAGCAGACGGGGAUUGUACCACUGGCUGUCCCUACUCCCAUCACUGCUGCCUUCCUUCUACAAACCCAGCAAGUCCUUAGGCAUCCACUUGCCUCUCAGUGCUGUGUCCUUUUCUUAUGGGACAGGGACUCUCACAGGGACUUAAGAGGCCUUGACACAGCAAAUUCAGUUCUGUUCUGUUUCUUUUCCAAGCUGGGCACAGCAUCAGUUUGCAAAGGAUACCGAUUUGUGCUGUGUUUUUCCUUUCAGAAGUAAAAGGUUUCUGUUAAGUGGCUGCAGUAUUCUGGCUAAUUUAACUUAGCGUUGGGAGACCUUUAUGUAUAUCACUGCUUUGCAGUCUCCUUCAAAGCACAGGAGCCUGUUAUUCCCAUUUCACUGCAGAGGAAACAGAUGCAAAGACCUGCCCAAAUGCAGGCAGCAAUUGCAAUCUGGAUUAGAGUGAAAAUGUCCCUGAAAACCAGUUCCACCCUCCAGGGAGACAUCAGUGGGCAGGGCAAGCUGGGAAAGUCAAGGGGAUGUAGUGUAGGACUGAAAAUAAAGCGUGUGAGAUUUUAAAUGCCUAAGGUGAU